ACUCCUACGGGAGGCAGCAGUGAGGAAUAUUGGACAAUGGAUGGAAAUCUGAUCCAGCCAUGCCGCGUGCAGGAAGACGGCCCUAUGGGUUGUAAACUGCUUUUGUAUGGGAGCAAUAAGGGCUACGUGUAGUCCGAUGAGAGUACCAUACGAAUAAGCACCGGCUAACUCCGUGCCAGCAGCCGCGGUAAUACGGAGGGUGCAAGCGUUAUCCGGAUUUAUUGGGUUUAAAGGGUGCGUAGGCGGUUUGAUAAGUCAGCGGUGAAAUAUUUCAGCUUAACUGGAAGGGUGCCGUUGAUACUGUCGAGCUUGAAUUUAGUUGCUGUGGGUGGAAUGUGUGGUGUAGCGGUGAAAUGCAUAGAUAUCACACAGAAUAUCGAUUGCGAAGGCAGCUCACAAAGCUAAUAUUGACGCUGAUGCACGAAAGUGUGGGGAUCAAACAGGAUUAGAUACCCUGGUAGUC
rnacentral:rRNA from 1 species